rnacentral:rRNA from 1 species
UACAGAGGGGGCAAGCGUUGUUCGGAAUUACUGGGCGUAAAGGGCGCGUAGGCGGCCUGCUAAGUCGAACGUGAAAUCCCCGAGCUCAACUCGGGAACUGCGUCCGAUACUGGAUGGCUUGAAUUCGGGAGAGGGAUGCAGAAUUCCAGGUGUAGCGGUGAAAUGCGUAGAUAUCUGGAGGAAUACCGGUGGCGAAGGCGGCAUCCUGGACCGACAUUGACGCUGAGGAGCGAAAGCUAGGGGAGCAAACGGG